UACGUAGGGCGCAAGCGUUAUCCGGAAUUAUUGGGCGUAAAGAGCUCGUAGGCGGUUUGUCGCGUCUGCUGUGAAAACCUAAGGCUCAACCUUGGGCUUGCAGUGGGUACGGGCAGACUAGAGUGCGGUAGGGGUGACUGGAAUUCCUGGUGUAGCAGUGGAAUGCGCAGAUAUCAGGAGGAACACCGAUGGCGAAGGCAGGUCACUGGGCCGCAACUGACGCUGAGGAGCGAAAGCAUGGGGAGCGAACAGG
rnacentral:rRNA from 1 species